rnacentral:snRNA from 14 species
GGAUGUGAGAGCGAUCUGGCUGUGACAUCUGUCACCCCAUUGAUCACCAGGGUUGAUUCAUCUGAUCUGGCUGGCUAGGCAGGUGCCCCCUUCCUCCCUCACAGCAACACGUGCGUCCCUCCCGAAUCUGUGUGCUUGGUCGAAGAGGACGACCUUCCCUGAUACAGGUGGUAUCAUUCAUCAGUCACAGGUAUAUGGUAGCUGCACUCCCCUGCUAGAACCUCCAAACAAGUUCAAUGAUUCUAUAUCCACUGCUGUAAUGUAUAAUGAGUUUACAUCAUCUAGGGAUAAUUUCCAGUUGUU